rnacentral:rRNA from 1 species
AUUGAACGCUGGCGGCAUGCCUUACACAUGCAAGUCGAACGGCAGCACGGACUUCGGUCUGGUGGCGAGUGGCGAACGGGUGAGUAAUGCAUCGGAACGUACCCGGUAGUGGGGGAUAACUACCCGAAAGGGUGGCUAAUACCGCCUAUACUGUGCGCAGGAAAGCAGGGGACCUUCGGGCCUUGUGCUACCGGAGCGGGCGAUGUCAGAUUAGGUAGUUGGUGGGGUAACGGCCUACCAAGCCUGCGAUCUGUAGCGGGUCUGAGAGGAUGAUCCGCCACACUGGGACUGAGACACGGCCCAGACUCCUACGGGAGGCAGCAGUGGGGAAUUUUGGACAAUGGGCGCAAGCCUGAUCCAGCCAUGCCGCGUGAGUGAAGAAGGCCUUCGGGUUGUAAAGCUCUUUCGGACGGAAAGAAAUCGCGCAGGCUAAUACCCUGCGCGGAUGACGGUACCGUCAUAAGAAGCACCGGCUAACUACGUGCCAGCCGCCGCAGUAAAAC